GGGUUGUGAGGUUAAGCGACUAAGCGUACACGGUGGAUGCCCUGGCAGUCAGAGGCGAUGAAGGACGUGCUAAUCUGCGAUAAGCGCCGGUAAGGUGAUAUGAACCGUUAUAACCGGCGAUUUCCGAAUGGGGAAACCCAGUGUGAUUCGUCACACUAUCAUUAACUGAAUCCAUAGGUUAAUGAGGCGAACCGGGGGAACUGAAACAUCUAAGUACCCCGAGGAAAAGAAAUCAACCGAGAUUCCCCCAGUAGCGGCGAGCGAACGGGGAGGAGCCCAGAGCCUGAAUCAGCAUGUGUGUUAGUGGAAGCGUCUGGAAAGGCGCGCGAUACAGGGUGACAGCCCCGUACACAAAAGCGCAUGUGCUGUGAGCUCGAUGAGUAGGGCGGGACACGUGGUAUCCUGUCUGAAUAUGGGGGGACCAUCCUCCAAGGCUAAAUACUCCUGACUGACCGAUAGUGAACCA
rnacentral:rRNA from 1 species